UGACAGCCCCGUACACAAAAAUGCACAUGCUGUGAGCUCGAUGAGUAGGGCGGGACACGUGGUAUCCUGUCUGAAUAUGGGGGGACCAUCCUCCAAGGCUAAAUACUCCUGACUGACCGAUAGUGAACCAGUACCGUGAGGGAAAGGCGAAAAGAACCCCGGCGAGGGGAGUGAAAAAGAACCUGAAACCGUGUACGUACAAGCAGUGGGAGCACAGAGCAAUCUGUGUGACUGCGUACCUUUUGUAUAAUGGGUCAGCGACUUAUAUUCUGUAGCAAGGUUAACCGAAUAGGGGAGCCGAAGGGAAACCGAGUCUUAACCGGGCGUUAAGUUGCAGGGUAUAGACCCGAAACCCGGUGAUCUAGCCAUGGGCAGGUUGAAGGUUGGGUAACACUAACUGGAGGACCGAACCGACUAAUGUUGAAAAAUUAGCGGAUGACUUGUGGCUGGGGGUGAAAGGCCAAUCAAACCGGGAGAUAGCUGGUUCUCCCCGAAAGCUAUUUAGGUAGCGCCUCGUGAAUUCAUCUCCGGGGGUAGAGCACUGUUUCGGCAAGGGGGUCAUCCCGACUUACCAACCCGAUGCAAACUGCGAAUACCGGAGAAUGUUAUCACGGGAGACACACGGCGGGUGCUAACGUCCGUCGUGAAGAGGGAAACAACCCAGACCGCCAGCUAAGGUCCCAAAGUCAUGGUUAAGUGGGAAACGAUGUGGGAAGGCCCAGACAGCCAGGAUGUUGGCUUAGAAGCAGCCAUCAUUUAAAGAAAGCGUAAUAGCUCACUGGUCGAGUCGGCCUGCGCGGAAGAUGUAACGGGGCUAAACCAUGCACCGAAGCUGCGGCAGCGACACUGUGUGUUGUUGGGUAGGGGAGCGU
rnacentral:rRNA from 1 species